ACGUAGGGUGCGAGCGUUGUCCGGAAUUACUGGGCGUAAAGAGCUCGUAGGCGGUUUGUCGCGUCGUCCGUGAAAACUUGGGGCUCAACCCCAAGCUUGCGGGCGAUACGGGCAGACUUGAGUACUGCAGGGGAGACUGGAAUUCCUGGUGUAGCGGUGAAAUGCGCAGAUAUCAGGAGGAACACCGGUGGCGAAGGCGGGUCUCUGGGCAGUAACUGACGCUGAGGAGCGAAAGCGUGGGUAGCGAACA
rnacentral:rRNA from 1 species